rnacentral:pre_miRNA from 1 species
AAUAGAUGACGCCGUUGACUUUUUCUCACAUGUUUGAUCAUUCGUCUUUUUCAAAAAAUUUACGUAAUUAUAAUUUAUUUUGUUAUGAGUUGUUUUAUCACUCAUAUUACUUUAAGUGUGAUUUAUAUCUUAUACAUUUGCAUAAAAUGUUUUGAAUAAGACGAAUGGUCAAACACGUGAGAAAAAGUUAACGGCGUCAUCUAUU